UGCCAGGGAGGGUGACAAUGAGCACUGGAGAGGGUUUUCUUCCCCUUGUUGCUGUCUCUUCCCCCUCUUGCUGCUAUGGCAGAUUCUGGACAGUGUGCAGCCUGUGAGGUAAUCUGAAUUCCUUGGCAACCGGCAAGUACCUGAAUUCUUUCAAAACCACAGGAAUCCAGCAGAGAAAAGACCAUUUGUGAACAACAGUGGCCCUAGGAUCUUCAUACCAAUUGCCAUUGCAUGAAAAUACAAUGUGAUCCUGGAUCCCUGCUGGGAAAGUGGAUUUAAGCGUAGAGGUCACGGACUCCGGACUACUGGCAAAGAAUGACUGGCAUCCUGGCAGGACUGAAACCAAGAAGCUUCCUCUUUACCAUCACAUCUUCCCUGGUCCCUCUUCUACCGCACAAAUGUAGAACCUGUAAGAGUUUGAAUAAUAUGCUGAAGAAACAGGGCUUCCCUGGUGGCGCAGUGGUUAAGAAUCCACCUGCCAAUGUAGGGGACAGGGGUUCAAUCCCUGGUCUGGGAAGAUCCCACAUGUUGCGGAGCAACUAAGCCCAUGCGCCACAACUACUGAGCCCACGUGCCACAACUACUGAGCCCGUGUGCCUAGAGCCCCUGCUCCACAACAAGAGAAGCCCGCGCACCGCAACGAAGAGUAGCCCCCGCUGGCUGCAACUAGAGAAAGCCUGCACGCAGCAA